AUGUGUUUACUGCGUUUUCUGUGCCCUUUGCCCUGCUGUGACAUCUUUGGUAUAUUCCAACUUGUUGCUCGCUCUUUAUGGGCUACACGUUGCCUCGAAGAUCACCAUGAUCGCCUCCGACUCAGCCACAUCGAAGAAUCAAAAUGAGCCUGGAGACACCACAGCCGGAAUGCGAAAGGUUGGAGAAGUGCUCAUUCAGAUGAUCCUGGCACAGCUUGCCAUGGUGGACCAGGCAAGCUUGCAAGGGCCUUGAUUCACCAUGUGUUCACAAAGAACCUCAUGGGCCACUCACUUCUCGGAAACAACACCACCAAUGGGCAAAAACAGGCUCUUGGCCUUAUCAGGGUCAACACUGUU